UGACAGGAUCGGACGGCCGCCCGACGAAGCCUCUGGCGCAGUCGGGAGGAAAGUCCGAGCUCCACAGGGCAGGCAGCCCCGUCAACAGCGGGGGGUCCGGAUGGGGAAACCCGCCGGGCACGGAAAGUGCCACAGAAAACAUACCACCCCGCCGAACACUGAGCGUAGUCGAAGUGUGGCGGGGAAAGGGUGAAAAGGCGAGGUAAGANNAGGGCAGGAUGGUCGCUAACGGCGACUGGGGGUGACCCUAAGGAAAGUGCCACAGAAAAUAUACCGCCUGCCACUGGCGGGGAAGGGGGAAAAGGCGAGGUAAGAGCUCACCGCUCCGAGCGCAAGCGAGGAGGCAUGGCAAACCCCUGCCGGUGCAAGACCAAAUAGAUCACGCCAUCCCGCCUACGGCGGGGCAAGGACGGCCCGUCCCAGAGGCGUGAGGGUAGGUCGCUUGAUCCGCCUGCGGCGGACCAGAGAGAUGGCCGUCGCCGCCGCCUUUGGCGGCGCGCACAGAACUCGGCUUACAGAUCCUGUCACCCA
rnacentral:RNase_P_RNA from 1 species